rnacentral:tRNA from 1 species
GUGGCUGUAGCUCAACAGGUAGAGCGCCGUCCUGCCAUGGCGGAGGUCCCGGGUUCGAAGCCCGGUAGCCACU